UACGGAGGGUGCAAGCGUUAAUCGGAAUUACUGGGCGUAAAGCGUGCGUAGGCGGUUCGUUAAGUCUGUUGUGAAAGCCCCGGGCUCAACCUGGGAAUGGCAAUGGAUAUUGGCGAGCUAGAGUGUGUCAGAGGAUGGUGGAAUUCCCGGUGUAGCGGUGAAAUGCGUAGAGAUCGGGAGGAACAUCAGUGGCGAAGGCGGCCAUCUGGGACAACACUGACGCUGAGGCACGAAAGCGUGGGGAGCAAACAGG
rnacentral:rRNA from 1 species